UUGUGAAUGCAGAAUCACAGUACAUUAGCCAUCACACCCAGUCACUGUCUCAUUAGUGACUUAUGAAUGUGAGAUUGAUUGCCAUAGUAAAGGUCAACCAGGCAUUUCAUAUCCAAGGGUGAGACCAGACUUGGCAUUGAAAGAGGCCCCUGUAAUUGAUUGAUGGGUCAUUGCUUUUUCUUCUACCAUCUGUUUCUCUGCAUAUUCAAGCUUUGCAUUGUUCCAGACUCUGCACAGUUACACUACUUGUUGUUGCUCGGUUAAUUGCAUAUGAUUGUGAUUUAUAUCAUACACGUCUGUGAAUCUUUCUUCUCUCUUUAUGCGGCUUAAGAUUCAUGCUGAAUAUCACUGGCUCACAGUGAGGAAAUAUUUGCUGAUUUUUACAAAACGUGAUUUGCUUUAGAAUUGCAUACUGCCCCUUUAAGACUAGGAAGUGCUAUAUAAAUGCAGUCUAUUUACCAUUUACAUUUACUACCAACGAAACAUUCAACACAAGUGUAUCGAAAAAAUGUUCAUUACUCGAAGCUUUGAAAAUCAGCGCUCGAUGAGGACCUCUGCUGGUGAAAGUCAGGGAAAGCGCUGUGUCGCAAACAUUCACCACCCACCAACACAUGGAUCAUGACGCAAAAAUUUGUGGAUGGAUAAAUUAAUGAAUGGAUAGUUAUUUGGGCUGGGACGAUAUUUGGGUGCCGAUUUGAUUUGUAGUGAUUCAGAUUUAUUUGAAUUCGAUUCGAAAAAAUCUAAUAUUGCAAUUUUAUUUUCCCGCUUAAAGAAAACUAAAAUACUUUUGCUUUAUUGAGAAAAGUGUUGAUCUUUUAUCCUGCCCAUCGUCCGGACCGUAGUUGGGGAGCAGGGUGAUUCUCCAGUGCUGAGGCAGUCUGCUCCGGGACCAACCCCUUCUUUUCCCUCCAACAGCGUGAUGAACGUACACACGGAGACUUUCGGGUGGAACCAAGGCGUUGCGGCGUUUGUUAUUGGACAUCAGUUGUAACAUUAGCUGCUAGCAUGUACACCGGACUUCGAGCUGCUCCGCCCUUUUCCUCUGUCUCGCUCCACGCACGUACACACACCACACCACAGACAACCAACACACUGCCCCAUUCACAACAGGAGUUACGCCACUCAUACAACAGGAUUGAAAUAUACAACAGUGGUUUCCUUUUCAGAAAAAGCAACAUGUUUAUUGCUUAUAGGGAAAAGUGUUUAAUUUCCUCACUAACAUCGGUUCCCGCUAAACAACAAUGGCCAAGAUAGGAAGUUGCUCUGUUGUUGGUUGCAAAAACAGAUGUGUCCCUGCCAUAUUCUCCCCACAUCUAAGGAUUUGAAAACCCAUUGGAUUCAUUUUAUUUUUAAUGGAAAUGUGCCCACAACAACCGGAAAAAUGUUGUAUGUGUGUGCUAACCAUUUUACCUCGGACUGCUUCCUCAACCAAGGCCAGUACAAUUUAGGAUGAGCUUCAAAACUCAAGCUGAAGAGUGGAUCCGUGCUGAGAGCCUGGGAGACAUCAUUAAACUCGGAAGCUUCUUUUGUGAAACUUCAUACCGGUGAAUGCCAGAGUGCCAGGCAAGCACAUCUGGUGCAUCACUACACGUUCCUGCAACAAGGGAUGCCACCUGGGCCGGAGAGAGUUGCAAAAUGGACCUCCAUCCUGAACCAUGUACAGGACAUUCAUAUACACGAGGACCCCCUUUUACCCCAGUACGAACAUCCUCUGCGCCAGACAAGGAACAGGAAGAAAUGGCUGUCAGGUCCUGCUUUGUACAAGCUGGAGAAGGUUUUGACAAAUAAAAGGUUUCUGAAGGAUGUUCCCAAACUGAGCCCACCACCAGACUUCAUCUUUGGAGGAUUUCCACAGCGUCACCCUUCAUUUUGCACCAAAGAAUGUUGUUUUUCCAUUUCUUUGAAUGCUGUGCAGACUCUACCUGCCUGCAAUGUAUUAUAAUGAAAACACUGGUCGACCACAAGCCGAAACCUCUGGUGGACAGCCUCGCUUUAAACUACACUUCCCAAAGGGCGGAUGCCGAGCAAAACCAGUUAAGACUGAGCCAACAUUCUGGUAUGUGGCUGUCUUGAUGGACCGAGUUUUUGAAAAAGUCUUUGUUGACCCGACACCCUACAUUGAUGCUGUAUUGAAAAUUCCCAUCCCAGGGGCCAUCGCUGCACAGUAUGAGCGGCCAGACAAGGAGGAGGUCAUAGCCAGAUAUGUGACCGUUUAACCAAGGGGUCUAAUUCCAACAUGCGCGAAUGCAAAGACAAGACAGGACAUUUAGUCAACAUCUAGCUCUUGCAAACAUCCAUCCUAUCUAUGGUGUCUUUCCUCAUAUGGAUUCAAUGAAUCCUACAAAUUUAUAUUAUCACUGAUGGUAACAGCAUUUUUUGUCAGUUUAUUUUUGUGUGAUAAAACAUUAGAUCACUGUCUAAUCUGUGCCGAUCUGAGUGAUAAGUGUGUGAAUAAAUGCUAUACAGUAUCUGUAAGAUGUCUUCUUUGAAUACAUGUUUGAUAUGCACACCAUCUGCUGACCAAAAAUGUAUUCAAUAGAUAAUUGUCACAAUAUAUUGUGUGUAAAAUUCACCUGACAAGAUAGUGGACAAGCUGUUUGAGCAGUAAGCUUUGCAAAGAUUGUCACACAUCGUAUGGAAAGUUGUUGCACAGGAGAACACAAGAAAA